GUGAAUACGUUCCCGGGCCUUGUACACACCGCCCGUCACACCACGAGAGUUUGUAACACCCGAAGUCGGUGGGGUAACCUUUUUGGAGCCAGCCGCCUAAGGUGGGACAGAUGAUUGGGGUGAAGUCGUAACAAGGUAGCCGUAUCGGAAGGUGCGGCUGGAUCACCUCCUUUCU
rnacentral:rRNA from 1 species